GGGCCGGAGAUGCUUAUGCAAGUCUGAAGAAUAAGAAAUGAUUUUGUUACUAAAAGAUUGGAUUAAGUUGGAGUAUUGACGGAUUGAAAUAUGUCGAUCAGUAAUUUUAUUGAUUAAGGUUCAGAAUAUUUAUUAGAGGGUGUUUAGUUUUUUUUUUCUUUUUUCUUAAAGGAAUUAAAUUAUUUUAGUACAUAUAUCUAAUAAAGAUAGAUAAAUUCCUAUAAUCCUAUUAUUUUCCACCAUUAUAAUGAGUUAACAUAAGUACUAUAUAUCCUUUUAAUUUACACCAUUCAUUUGAGUCAAUGACUAGAUUAAAGUCUUACUAUCAUUUAUAGUAAAAAUAAGU
rnacentral:lncRNA from 1 species